UCUGUGCUCUGAGGAGGAAGGCACAGGAGGCUGUGCAAGGGCCAGAAGGGGUGAGACUUUGUAUAAGGGACAGACAGGGUUAGGUGGCUGUGCUAGGGACAGGAAGCUGUGAGCUGGAAAUGCAGAAGGAAGGUAGAAGAAGGAGAGAGUCAGAGCUGUGUGGAGCUACUCAUGGGACUGUGACAUAGAAAUGUUUUAGAUAACAAGGUACUGAUGCUUGGAGCCCCCUGAACUUUUUACAGAAGCAGUCGAGUGCUGUGGCCAUCUCGACGAUGACAACACACGGGUCCUGGACAUCGGAAAACACUGCAUUGUUUGGCCAAGUUUCUGAAUAGGGGAGAUCUCGAGCAGGUGCUGAAGGAGCAGCCAUUGAAGAGUGAUAAGUCUAAUCUGCAAGAGAACAGGGGCCGAGCAUGGACGCCAGGAGAACCCACAGGAGCCCCUGCGAGAGGCGGCCAUCAGGUUCAUCGGAAUGUGCGGGCGGAGCCUGAGGAGGCAGCGGGAACAGCCCCAGCUCGUCUGUAAAGCCCGUCAAGCCCAGAGGCAAGAUGCCAGCCCAUCGUGCUCUAACCUGCAAAAUCAAGCCUGGUUUCCCCGAAGAGCUAAAGAAUUAGGGACAUCUUCUGAAUCCAGUGAACCAGCAUCCCGAGAACACACUAGGAGGCACUGAAGAGGAUGCCAUCUCUCAGUGCUGCUGGAGCUCCAGGAACAGCUGAUGCUGGGCACAGUUCUCAUAACUUCAUGCCUCUUCUCCCUGUUAUGCGGAUACUUCCCUCCCUCCAGCCCUCAGACCCUGCCCAUCCCCUUUCUCCCCUCCGGCUCAUCCCCUUGCUUUGCCUGCCAUCAAUAAACAGUUUGGCUUCUUCACA